GUCAUACUACGGUGCAAUCCCCUGUAAAGUAAACGAUGACCCCCAGGGAACUCCAGGUUAAAAUACGUAUCAAAAUGCGAAAUACGACUAGCCUGAAGCUUUGCUUCGGGGUAGUUUUCUUU
rfam:Mangrovibacter sp. MFB070 Contig-011, whole genome shotgun sequence.